rnacentral:lncRNA from 1 species
GGACCACGGAUGAACAACACGCCUCAGCUUUCCUCGGGGCCCAAGCUGAUCUCCAGCAGCACAAAAGGCCCCAGUGGCGUGGGUGGAGUCAUGGGUGGAGUCAUGGGCGGAGGAGGAAUGAGACACAACAGCAGCCACCCCAACUUCUCCCACUCCUUCCACAACCUGGCUCAGCUGCCCCUGUCCUACGAGGCCACCAUGAAGCCCGAGAUCAGCCGCUACAGCUCCCUAAAGAGGCUGGAGAGAGAACUGGACGACUACGGCUACCACUCGUCUAAGCGCCGCUCCACCAACGCUCCCCCCUCCUUCCACUCCUCUCAGCACCACCUGCCGUGGGGGGGCGACUACACGCUGAGCUCACGAGGCACCCUGCCCCUCCACAUGCCCUCCACCCCCACCCCUACCCGCUGCCCCCCACCGCCCCGUCGCACUACGGUGUGUCCAGCUUCGACCGCCCGCCGCGCCGUGUUCGGUCCCAGGACCAGCUGCUGGCGCUGGGGGACACGCUGUCACGUCUGUCCAAGAACCAGCAGCACCAGUACCAUAAAGCCAUGAUGGGAGGGGGGCGGAGCUCCACCUCACAGCUGCUACGCAGGUCUCAUGAACGGCUCCUGGUGUCCCCCGACCGCCUGGAGGACCGCCUGCUGAUGGGUGUGGUGAUGGGCGGGGGCGGCGGUGGGGGUGGUGGAAUGAUGGUUCCCACCAUGGGGCGCCUCUCCCACCACCAGAAGGCCCAGUCGCAGCAGAACAUCUGCGUCACGCCGUCCAUGGACCGCCAUCA